GCGUUCCGGAUUUAUUGGGUUUAAAGGGUGCGUAGGCGGCCUAUUAAGUCAGGGGUGAAAGACGGUGGCUCAACCAUCGCAGUGCCUUUGAUACUGAUGGGCUUGAAUACACUAGAGGUAGGCGGAAUGUGACAAGUAGCGGUGAAAUGCAUAGAUAUGUCGCAGAACACCGAUUGCGAAGGCAGCUUACUAUGGUGUUAUUGACGCUGAGGCACGAAAGCGUGGG
rnacentral:rRNA from 1 species